rnacentral:rRNA from 1 species
GACUGGGGGAUGGCUCGGCUCGAGAGCUGAUGAAGGUCGUGACAAGCUGCGAUAAGCUACGGGGAGGCGCAUGAAUGCCUUGGAUCCGUAGAUGGCCGAAUAGGACCUCCUGGCUUUACGAAGUCAUUCCCGUAUUAAUUUACUGGAAAGGGAACCGCCCGAAUUGAAGCAUCUUAGUAGGGCGAGGAACAGAAAUCAAACGAGAUUCCGUUAGUAGUGGCGAAUGAACACGGAAUAGAACAAACCGAAUCCGCUUGGGAAACCUUGUGGAGAUGUGGGGUAUGGAUCACCUAUCGUCUAAAUUCACGAAGCAGAAGUCGAUCUGGAACGACGUACCAUAGAGGGUGAAAGUCCCGUAUGUGUAGUGAACAUGACCAAGUGGUGAAUCCUGAGUAGCGUGCGUUGGAUAUCGCGCGUGAAUAUGGGAGGCAUAAACUUCCAAUUCUAAAUACAACUCGAGACCGAUAGUAGACCAGUAGUGUGAACGAAAGUUGAAAAGUAUCCUGAGAGGGAUGUGAAAAGAACCUGAAACCAGUUAGGGACAGACUGAAUAGGCGUGAAAGCGAAGAUAUGAGCAGCGUCUAUUCGUGCGUUUCGAAUAAUGCCCCUGGGAGUCUUGAUCAUUGGCGAGGUUAAGCAGUUGAUCUGCGAAGCCGUAGGGAAACCGACAAGUCCGCAGCCCGUAAGGGUGAGGGACGAGAUGUGCUCGUCUGAAGUCAAUGGUGGAGGACCUGAAGCCUAUCGAUCUAUGCCUGGCCAGAUUGAAGCCCGAUGAAAGUUGGGUGGAGGAUCGAACCGUUGCUGAUGUGCAAAUCGCUCGGACGAGUUGGGUAUAGGGGUGAAAGUCCAAUCGAGAUGGGCAAUAGCAGGUUCCGCGCGAGACUACUCGUAGGUAGACCUCUGUGGAGAUAGAUUGUGCUGUAGAGCACUGAUUGGGUAUUUAGGGGGAGCGAUCCCUCGGUAUGCUGUCAAACUCCGAAGGUGCAAUCAUUGUAGAAACAGGGAGUGAGUCGCGGUGGGUAAGCUACCGUGACGAAAGGAGAACAGUCCAGCCUAGCGUUAAGGUCCCAAAGUACUAACUAAGUGUCAAAGACAAACCGUGUCCGUGGUCGAAAACAACCAGAAGGUGGGCUUAGAAGCAGCCAUCCUUGAAAGAGUUCGUAACAGAUCACUGGUCAAGCUUGCGGGCCGGGAAAAGGGACGGGGCUAAAGUUAGUCACCGAUACGCUAGACCAGCGAAAGCUGAUGUGGUAGCGCGGCGACAUGUUCGGGUAGAAGGUAGGCCUUGAGGUCUACUGGACCGUAUAUGUAUGAGAAUCUAGGGAAAAGUAGCAGCAAAGAGUGGUGAGAAUCCGCUCCACCGGAGGGGCCAGGGUUCCUCGGCAAUGUUCAUCAGCCGAGGGUUAGCCGGUCCUAAGGUCAUUCUUAACCGAAAUGAUCGAAUAGGGAAAUGCGUUAAUAUUCGUAUGCCUCUGUGCAAUUAUGGUGACAGCUUGGGCUAGUCUUACAGGUCAUAUGUCAGGCCUGAAGAUUGUAUAAGGAAUUGGAGAACCGUCAUGGUGAGAAGAUUCCGAAAUCAAUUGACAAUAUAAGAUGACGCCUAGGCUCCGUGAAAAGCCGCACAGAAGACCGUACCUAGAACUGACACAGGUGCCCCUGGGUGAGUAGCCUAAGGUGUGACGGGAAAAGUACCGCAAGGGAACUCGGCAAAAUAGCUCCGUAACUUCGGGAGAAGGAGUGCCAGCUUAGAGAUAAGCUGGUCGCAGUGACCAGGGGUCUCCGACUGUUUAAUAAAAACAUAGGCGACUGCCAGUCCGAAAGGAUGAGUAUAGUCGCUGAAUCCUGCUCAGUGCCGGUAUCUGAAAUCGGGGUUCAACCUGACGAAGGACCGGUAAACAGCGGGGGUAACUAUGACCCUCUUAAGGUAGCGUAAUACCUUGUCGCUUAAUUGGCGACUUGCAUGAAUGG